CAAAUACAUGGAGAACCCGUAGCCUGAAGCCAUUUGGAAAGCAGUAACCCCCUGCAAGAAAAGGAACAGAACUGGCAUUAAAUUCUUAAAUUCCUGCUCUCCAGCCAGAUGCCUCCAGACCUAAACACUGAUAAUCGAAAACCAUGAACCUCUUCUGGCUUGGGGAAAUCUUCUUGGAAUUUCGAUUGUGGAUUUAUUUGCUGCUAAGAUGGUGCAUUCGAGCUGAAACAGUGAACUCAUCCAAACAUCAGCCCUCUCUGACCAUCUCCGGCAAACAUCCAUUAUCCAGAGCCAUCCGCUUCCUCAGGCUGAUCUAUGGAGGAAAACUGUUGUUGUUUUCAGCAUGCCAGGAGAUGAGUUUCUCUCUGCUCUUGAACAACAGGAUUGGACAUCAAGUGUUGCUCUUAAGGUUAAUUAGAAAAAUUAUCUCAUCAGAGGAGCACCCCUCCUCCUCCUGCCAGAGACAUGCUAAUCUCUGACAAGUCUGCUCUGGGUCUCUCUCUGUCAGAGUAGAAUACAUGGAGAACCCACGGCCCCUGAAAAGAUCCGCUUCGCUGAGCCACUUUGACUGGGCUGCUAAUAAAAAGACAGGAAAGAGUGUGACCUGUUUGGACUCACUCACAACCACUUUGUAUCCCACCUAUAUCUGUCACCUCAUCUCCCUCUCUCUCUUUCUAUCCCUCACUCAGUCUCUUUAUCUAUAUGUGGCUUUUGGUCUUCUCAGAUUUCUCUUUUUUUGGUACCUGUUCCUUCUGUGCUGCUCAGCUAAUGUUGGCACAAAUGAAGCAGAACGGCUUAUUUUCUCUCUCCCGCAUCACUCUGGCCUCUCUUGCUUGACCGUAUCUAUUUUUUUCCCUCUUUCUCUUUUAAACUGAAGUUCCUUUCUGUCCAAAUGCUUUUAAUCUUUUACCUCUUCCAUGCCUUUCAUUUUAUUUUCCUCUCUUUUGCAUCUUGCUACUCUUUCAGUCAGAUUCGUCUUUGCUCCCAUUAAUAUAAAGGGAUUGAUCGCCAAAAAAAAAAAAAAAAAAAGUAAUUAUGCUGUUAUUUUUCUUCUGAUGUGAUCUCAUUAGUAAGUGUAGGUAAGCAUACUUAAAAUGUGUUUCUACGUUUGUGUACGAUUGCAUAAACACUGAAAUGAACAUUAUAUAUAAAUACACACAAUGUAUUUACAGCAUCUUCAUGUAAUUAAUACAUUUGAUCAAUGUGAUAAAUCUUAAUUGCUAUCACAUUUAUUUAAUACAUUUAUGUAGUUUGAUAUUAUAACAGUUUUAUUUUGUGUGAUUUCUGGUGUUUUAUAUCAAAGGAUUCCAUCAUUUUACUUAAGCCUAAAC
ensembl:lncRNA